rnacentral:tRNA from 1 species
AUUUGAAUAGCUUAAAAAGAGCAUAAUAUUGAAGAUAUUAGGGUAAUAGUUUUAUUUUCAAGUA